rnacentral:lncRNA from 1 species
UGUACACUCUGAGCCCAAGACCUUGGUCUGCCAAUGACUAAUCGUUGUUCAGACCAUAGUCUGACCUUCAAUAGGUUUGUACUCUUAUUUGUGUGGAUGGACAGGUUUCGGUCAGGGGUGUGCCAGCCUACUUUAUGGCUGGGCAAGACCACCAAUUUGUUAUGGCAUUCCCCAUCCCCUUUUUGCACUUACCCUCAUUCUUAGAACAUUAAGUUUUGCCCCUCUCUUGGGAGCCAUGCUUUGGGACCCAUGAGCUCCUUCUGAACUUGGACACCUAAGAGCUGGCUCUUCUACACUACACUACAACUCAUUCUAAUUGGGAUCUUGGGUGUAAGCAAUGCCUGGAAUUCCUGAAAUUCCUUGGAACUUUGAAACACCCAGGAUAAAGAGAAUGCUUUGGAAUCUGGAUCUCGAAAGCAUCUCUAUGUCAUAUUGUUAGAUACUAAGUUUGCAUUAGGUGCUCUGAUGUAGCUAUAAAUUCUGAUGUAUUUUAAUUUCUACCUUAUUUUUACGGGUCUGUAAUAAUUUAUAUAAACUCGGGGAAUCUAGUAAAAAGAGAGGUAUUUACUUUCAUGCACAAAUAGGGUAGAAACCAUGCCUAUAGGACUUUUACUAUUAAUAUAUGCAUUUCACAAGUAGAAACCAUGCCUAUAGGAUCUAACUUUUAUUUUGUAAUUAUGCAUAUAGAUACCAUUCCUAUAGGGAUUUGCGUUUCUGCAUUUAUAAUUACAUUAAGCAAACCAUUAGGUUUAAUGUUGAAUCAACGGAUAGAAUAUCGUGUUAAUAAGGCUGUUAAAUGGUAUUAAUUUGAGCAACUCGUAGAGAUCAUGCCCAUAGGAACUUCAAAUAAGAGCUGACUCACUCGUGUCAAACAGUACCACUUUUCUUUACCAAAACAAACAAUAUUGCACGCUUUCUGAACUCUAUAAACUUCCUCAUAGUUAAUUCGGUGCAUAUUUUCUGAAAACUCAUUGUUUUUGAGAUAACUUGACAAGCAUAUUCAAAUCAAUCUGAUUUCAGCUUUUAUAAACCCUUUCUUUCUUGAAUCAGUCUGCAAUUCAGUCCUUUGAUUAAAACUCGGCAACUCUUUUCUUAAAUAGCAUGUUUUCCAAAACUCGUUAAGAACCAUUUUCUUGUGUUAAGUCUGUGAUCUUUUUAUCAACAUAUUUAACUCUGCAUGUUUUUCCAUCCCCUGCUAUUUAUAUAGUGAAGUGCAGAAUCAUGUUCCUUUCUAGAUUGAUAUUGUUUCCCUUGAUCUUCUGACUGAUUGCAAAAGGCUUUUCUUUAACGAGCCCCAAUUUCACUCAGCUGUUUAAAAUUAAUUGAUUCUUUUCCCUUUACUGUGAUGUUUUACCUUGAUAAAUCCAUACCCAAAAUAAGCCUAUUUCGUACUUGGACUUGAUUGUUUGCUUCAUGCCCUUACUACCCCUUUUAUGGCAAUAAUCAAUCUGCCCCCUCCCCAAAAUGAUUUUCUUUCCUUAAUUAAACCUGCAGCUACCCAUUAAAUAGUGUUUCCUUAAUUAAAGGGGAAUCACUUGGGUUAAUUGAUUCUAACUUGUGAUUGUUUCCAUGUUUGUGUUUAAAUUUUACUUAUUACCUUACUCUCUACACGUUUUCAAAGCUAUAAAUGCCUACACUCUUCUCUUUCAAAUAGACAAGUUCUAAUGAACACACACAUAUACUCACAAUUUCUUCUCUCAAACACUCUUAAGUUCUCUCAAAAAGCAUUCGAGGUUUCCCUAAAAUUACAAGUUAGCUUUCUUUGUAUUGUGGCUGCAAGUGUUCUGCUUCUCUUCCUUUUUAUUUUUGCAACUGGAAUGCCUCUUUUAGUUUAAUACUACCUCUCUCCUAUGCGUUUAUGAUUCAGUUCUCUUCGUGUUUGCUUCUACUACUUUCUGCAAUUUGUUAUUCCUGCUCUUAUAUGAACUCCCCAUACCUAAUCUCCUUUGUAUGUUGAGUUAUGGUUCAGAAAGAAUGACAACAUUUAACAUUAUUGUUCACGUACAUGGAAUGGAUUAUGUGAAUCCUGAUCUCUGUCAAUUCCCAUUCCUUUUACUGAUAUGUGCACCCUGAGCCCAAGACCUUGGUCUGGUAAUGUCCUAAUCAUUGUCCAGACCAUAGUCUGACCUUCAAUAGGGUUGUGCUCUUAUUUAUGUCGCUGGACAGGUUUUGGUCAGGGGUGUGCCAGCCUACUUUGUGGCUGGGCAUGACCACCAACUUGUUAUGGCAUUCCCCAAACCUUGUUUUGCACUUACACUCAUUCUUAGAAUAUCAAGUUCUGCCCCUCUCUUGUAAGCCAUGCUUUGGUACCCAUGAGCUCUUUAUUAACUUAGACACUUGAGAGAUGGCUCUUCCACAGUGCACUACAACUCAUUUUGAUUGCUAUCUAGGGUGUAAGCAAUGCCUGCAAUUCCUGAAUUUCCUUGGAACUUUGAAACACCUUGGAUAAAGAGAAGGCUUUGGAAAUCUGGAUCUUAGAAGUGGUUCAUUCUCAUAUUUUUAGAUACUAAGUUUCCAUUAGGCUGCUCCCAUGUAGCUGUAACUUCUGAUGUAUUUUAAUUUUUCCUUAUUUUUACUGGUCUAUAAUAAUUUGUAUAAACUCGGAGAAUCUAGUAAAAAGGAGGGAUUUACUUUCAUGCACAAAAAGGAUAAAAACCAUGCCUAUAGGACUUUUACUGUUAAUUUAUGCAUUUCAUAAAUAGAAACCACG